AGUGAACGCUGGCGGUAGGCCUAACACAUGCAAGUCGAACGGCAGCACAGUAAGAGCUUGCCCUUACGGGUGGCGAGUGGCGGACGGGUGAGGAAUACAUCGGAAUCUACUUUUUCGUGGGGGAUAACGUAGGGAAACUUACGCUGAUACCGCAUACGACCUACGGGUGAAAGCAGGGGAUCUUCGGACCUUGCGCGAUUGAAUGAGCCGAUGUCGGAUUAGCUAGUUGGCGGGGUAAAGGCCCACCAAUGCGACGAUCCGUAGCUGGUCUGAGAGGAUGAUCAGCCACACUGGAACUGAGACACGGUCCAGACUCCUACGUGAGGCAGAAGUGGGGAAUAGUGGACAAUGGGCGCAAGCCUGAUCCAGCCAUACCGCGUGGGUGAAGAAGGCCUUCGUGUUGUAAAGCCCUUUUGUUGGGAAAGAAAAGCAGCAGGUUAAUACCCCGCUGUUCUGACGGUACCCAAAGAAUAAGCACCGGCUAACUUCGUG
rnacentral:rRNA from 1 species